AAUACAAAACCACAUUCACCUAUAAAAACUCUGAAUUCAAACUAGUAGCUCCAGCUUCAAAAAAAUUAGCUAGAAUCAUAACACUCGCAGGAAAGAACGAAUGGAUAACCUAUUACAUAAGUAUUAUGUCAUUACGUCAGUUAGUACGACAGUGUGCUAUUACUCGCUUUGUUUACUACUCGCUAACCAUCCACAGUAAGGUUUGCUUGGAAAUCAUAAAGGAAACCAAGGUAUGAAUGGCUGCUAAGCACAGGGCCGGCAAUCUGGGGUGUGUGGCGGAUGCUAUGCACUGGGGCCAGUAAAUUGAAGGGUUCCAACAUGAUUAAGAACUAAAAUAAUGUUCUGAAUGGUAACAGUGGGAUGGAAACAAUAGAGAAAGAAAUUUAACUGGAACAAUCAAUAGUUUUUGAAUUGUACAAAGUUUACAGAAUAAAAUGCUUCAUAUUUCUAUCCUUGCAGGCCUAAUGAUAUUGAAAUUGUGCAUUCUCUACAUGAUUUGAGGCUAAAAUAUGCAAAAAUGACUGAAAUCAAAAAUCUAAAGAUGAUCCGGGAAUGAAAAAUCUACCAGUAGAAAUAAAUAUUUUGCAGAAUUGUCCUUAUAAAGAUGUAAAGAAGGAUUAUAAGCCUUUUUGCCACUUCCUUGAAAGACUUGGUAUUUUACUAUUUAUUUAUUUAUGUUUGGAAGUUGAGAAUUGUUUUCUCUUUGGCAAAUUCUUCAUGUGGAGGAAAGUUAUAUGUAAUAUAAUAUAUAGUUAAUUUGUUAUCAGGAGGGGCAUGUAAACUGGAUUAUUUUUGUUAUGAAGCAUUCAUGACUUUGUUGCUUCUGCUACCAGAAUUGCAAGGUAUAUGCAUAAACUAUCUAUAUUUGAACUAAAUUAUGUAUAAUUUAGUAUGGUAAUUCAUCAUACUAUUAUCUUUCUCUUAGAUACGUCUUAAUUGCACCUGGGAAACAAUUUUAAUAUUCUAGAACUUUUUUAAAGUAAAAGAAUGACUUUCAUUAUGCCUCCUCUCUUUAUUCUUGUGUUUCAACUCACAUUCUAUAACUCAUUACUAAUUUUUGAAAUCCAUAUUACAUCAUUGAAAGUCUUCUUAACCCAAAAAAACCUUAGUAACAAUCAGAGUUUUAUUCCACUGUACCUAGAAGUGUCAAAAUAUUCCUUUAUUUAAUAGCUGCUGAGCAGGCUCUUGAUAUUUCUCUGUAUAAUUUUAAUCUUUAUAUUUAUGAGACUAAAUGUAUUAUAAAAUGUUUCUAUUUCAGAUUGUGCUUUUGGAUGUAACUUAAUCACUUUUUAAUGUAUUCUUAAUAUUGGAACAGAGGUAAUUAAUAAAUUAAAUUUUGCCUGAAACACUUGAUGGUAGCUUGCAUUAAAUGUGCUGUUUGUCUAUAUUUUGUAAAAGCCCAAACAGUAUAUAUACAUUCUUGUUAUUUUAAUUCUUAAAUAUCUUUCUUCAUUCUGCCAAAUUUUUUAGGCUACAAAAAAAUUAUUUCUUUUAUUCUUACUUUGAAUGAAAUUAGUGAAUUAUAUUUUAAAAUAUAUCAAAAUAGUUAUCUUCAGAAAUUUCUGAUAUCUUUUGUUUAUUAUUUGGCACAUACUUAAUUUUUUUUGUAGUUCAAUAAUAAUAGUGUCUAUUAAAAAUAUUUUUGUGAAGUUCAAAUUAAAAUAUUGCACUUUUAAUGGAUUCCCUUUAUGAUGAUCAAAAAGUUCUGGUAUUUAUUGUAUGAUGAGAGACUGAGUGCAAAUUGAACUUUUUUGGUGAUAUUCUUUCAAAGUGAAUAAAUACCUUGGGGAAUCACCAUUAUGGAGAUGCAAAUGAGGAUUACAAGCUACAUAGAAACUUUCAUUAAUUAUAUUCUUCUUCCAUGUUCUUUUAAAGCCUAAAUAUUGUAUAUAAAUUCUUAAUGGGCAAUAAGUUUUGGAUGCUGUGUAUGGCAUUUCAUAAUUUUGUGUAUAUUUAAAUUAAGUAUUCAUGAUGAGAAAAUUAAGAAAGGUAUGGUCAGAUUGUUGAGAUUGGUGCAUUUUUUUUUAAUUAUCUGACAUAUGCACUUAUUAAAAUGAUUGUGAAAAAUUAAAUUUUUUUUCUAUAUAUAUUAUAUAAUCUAUUUUCAUUAUUUAAUAAAUAUUUUUAUUAAUAAAUUCUUCUAUGAUCUGUUUUAAUAUCAUUUCUAGAUUACAUGUUUGGGACAUUAAACAACUAAUCUAAAUAUUUAAUGCUGUAGAGUUUUUGUGAUUCUUGUUGGCAGUAUUGAUUUCAAGUAAAUAUCUGGUUGAACCCUGGUUGUUUUUUUAAUAAUACUGUAUUUUAAAUGUUUCAUAUUUAUUUCAUAUUCAGACUUUGUAAAUAUUUUUGGCAUUUUUAAGUUGGGAAGAAAUGUUAUUUAUCAAAUCUUAAUUAUUUUUUUAUAAAAAAGUAGCUAAGCACUAAGAAAAUAGAUUUCAUAAUUUUUUCUCUUUUUUUGUUUCAAUAUUAUUUUUCUUUAGUGAGAAACUCAUGUAUGCUUGAAAAUUUGUAAAUGAGGUUUGCAUUCUUGAGAUUUUUCAGAAUUCCUCUUUUUCUCUAUUCAUCAUAUUAUUUACUUUUUCAAUCAUUCGAAGUUGGUGGCUUAAACGUGUAAAGUUUGAUCACAAAUUUGUAUGAAUUGUUUAUAUAGUUUCAUUUUUCCCUUCUCAAAAUAUGAAAUUUUGUAGUCAUGCCACUGAUUAUUAAUGUGUGAUUAUUUUGAUGAAUUAUAAAUCAGAUAAAAUAAAAAAAAUGUAAAAGUAUUUUUUAAAUUUCAUCAUGUUUAUGCAUGUCAAAACACUUUUAUUACAAGAAUAAUUACACAUUUAGAAAUGAAAGUACUUUAUAAAAUUGUUCAUUGCCCAUUACUUAUCCAAGAUGGAACAAAAAUGCGAGUCAGUAUUAACUGUAGAGCAGCUUUAUAUUUUUGAUCUAAUGGCAUUGUGGAAAAAUGAUCAAAAAUUAAAUUGUUGUUAGAAAGUGCAUAUAUAAAUUGCAGUCCCAGUGUGAUUGUUAUUAUUUUCAAUAUAUAUUAUAAAAAAUAAUAUAUAUUGAAGACUAAUUUCCUUCAUAUAACGUGUCUGAGCUCAAAAAAAUUCACUACAGUGCCUUGCAGAUAAAUUGUAUUGUUGCACUACUCAUUCUAUGAUGGAGUGAAGAAUUUGUGUUAAUUUUUAAAAUCUACAUGAUAAAUUUGACAGCACUUUUGAUAAAUACAAAGAAGAAAAUUCAUUUGACAUGAACAAGGAAUGAUAAAUAUGAAUAAUAUAAUAUUUUUAACAUAUAGGCUUAAUAAAUCUGUUGUCAAUUUUUAAAAUUAGUAAAGCAAAAUAGCAUUGUUAAUAUGUAAAACAUUUCUCAAUGAUGAAUCAGAAAGAAACUAUUCAUGUAUAUAUUGCUUCGGUUUUUUAAUUUAACCCUUUGCACUCCUAUAUCAAGUAUAACUUACGAUAUUCUGAAAAAUACGUCGUUUUCAUUUCUUGUUAGAUAAUGAUUAAAAUAGAAGUCUUUUAAUAGCAAAAACUUUGACAUUACUUUUUUGGAAUAAUAACAAACAUAUAACUAUAUUUUUCAAUGUCCAAAACACAUUAAAAAAAUUAUCGCACUCAUAUGCAUAUUUAUGUACCUCAUUACUUUUUGGCGUGUAAAGGAUUGAUUCUGACUACAUUCAGUGUAUCAGAAUUUUAAUUUCACAUUAAAAAGCUAGCUCCAUACUAGUUAGGACUGAUAUUAAAUUUUUAUCAAUAUUUUUAUUUUUAAGUAUUAUUUAGAUGCUAUUUGUGAUGCAUUCUUAAUCAUAUUUAAAUUGAGGGGUCCUUUAUUUUGAUGAAUGCUAGUUAACUUGUAUUAAAG